AGCUCCAAUAGCGUAUAUUAAAGUUGUUGCGGUAAAAAGCUCGUAGUUGGAUUUCUGUUGAGAACGACCGGUCCACACAACGUGUGCGCAUCUGGUUCGGUCUCGGCAUCCUCUCGCAAGACGUUAUUGCGCUUGAUUGCGUGAUGCGGAUUACGGGACUUUUACUUUGAGGAAAUUAGAGUGUUCACGGCAGGCUAUCGCCAGAAUACAUUAGCAUGGAAUAAUACUAUAGGAUCUUGAUCCUAUUUUGUUGGUUUCUAGGAUUGAGAUAAUGAUUAAUAGGGACAAUUGGGGGCAUUCGUAUCAUCACGUCAGAGGUGAAAUUCUUGGAUCGUGAUGCGACGAACUACUGCGAAAGCAUUUGCCAAGGAUGUUUUCAUUUGAUC
rnacentral:rRNA from 1 species